rnacentral:misc_RNA from 1 species
GGAAGGAUCAUUACCACACCGAUCCAACGAUCAAUACCCCUGUGAAGUUGUGUUAGUUCUUGUCUUUUUUCUAUUUGAGAUGUAAAGAGGAGUUGAUUGCCCCCCAAUUGGGCGGCGGUUUUUCUCUUUUUCAUUCUUUUACCCACAAACUACGAUUUAUAUAAAACCUUCAACUAUUUAUGGUUGAAAUUGAAAAAACAUAAAAGCGCUACUUUUUUCUUUUUCUUUUGUUUUGUUUUAACUUCUCAUCCUUUUUAUGGAUUUGAUUUUGAAAAAGAAUACAAGAAAAAGAGUAGUUGCCAAAAUAUUUUAAAAACUGAAAACAACUUUCAGCGAUGGAUAUCUUGGCUCUCGCAACGAUGAAGAACGCAGCGAAAUGCGAUACGUAAUGCGAAUUGCAGAAUUCAGUGAAUCAUCAAAACUUUGAACGCAAAUUGCGCUUCCGGGUAUCCCUGGGAGCAUGUCUGUAUGAGUGUCUGUUGACACCACUCACGUCUUUUCUUGUUUUUUUUGUCAUUUUACUUACCAAGUUGAUGAUAAAUGAUGGGGAGAUGUGGAUUUUGAGAUGUCCUAGGAUUUUUUUUCUAUAAAAAGUUCUAUGUCUCUUGAAAUGCCGAGUAAACCUGAAUUCUUAUUACCUCUUUUUUCCAAAAAGAUGUAUGAGAUGGAAAAAAAAAUACAAGACAACGAAAAACUCGCUCAAGCGUGGUAGUUGUGUACUUGUGACACAUCCCUAACGCUGUGAGUACAAAGUUUCUCUGCUGUUUUUGCUUUUUUUCUUGAAACUUUUUUACAAGUGGUUUACCGCAAAGAGAAACCAGGGUCGAAAAGGAAAGAACCAAAUUAUUCUUCCCUCCUAAAACCUUGGCCAACACCCCUUCUUCUUGGACCUCAUAUCAGACAAGAGGACCCGCUGAAUUUAAGCAUAUAACUAAGCGGAGGAAAAGAAACUAACCAGGAUUCCCCUAGUAACGGCGAGUGAAGCGGGAAGAGCUCAACUUGAAAAUCGGUGCGGCCCCGCCGCAUUGAAUUGUAGUCUAUAGAAGCUGUUGUCAGUCAAGCUCUCGGGAGAAGUCUCUUGGAACAGGGCAUCAUAGAGGGUGACAAUCCCGUCUGUGCCCGGGAACGCUUGACGUACGAUACGCUUUCAACGAGUCGAGUUGCUUGGGACUGCAGCUCAAAAUGGGUGGUAAAUUCCAUCUAAAGCUAAAUAUUGGCGAGAGACCGAUAGCGAACAAGUACCGUGAGGGAAAGAUGCAAAGAACUUUGAAAAGAGAGUUAAAAAGUACUUGAAAUUGCUGAAAGGGAAGCGAAUCAAAUCAGUGUUGAUGCGUCGUUAUCUUUCAGUGGAGAGUUGCACUUGGUGCUGUAUGUUGAUGAGGGGUCAAAUCCCAUCGCUAUAGUAUUUCCUUUGUGCCCUUUCCGCUGCGCUGUAACGAUGCGUAACUCAGCAUCAGUUCAUAUCUCGCGGGAUAUAGCUAGUGAGGAGGUAGAGUACGGCUCGUUUCGUGCUUAUUAUAGCUUACUAGUUGUGUCGUGGGAAGGACUGAGGUUUUCUUCACAGUAUACGCCUUUUUGGCUGGGCUUGCUACGUUCUGAUAUGCUGCAUAAUCUGGACUGCUCGUCAGUGCUUGUUGUGUAACGUGUGUUACAGCGUGGUUUUUAGCCCAUGUAUGCUCGGGAUGCUGAGGAAAUGGUUUGAUCCGGCCCGUCUUGAAACACGGACCAAGGAGUCUAACAUCUAUGCAAGUAUUCGGGUGGUAAACCCUUGUGCGCAAUGAAAGUGAAGGUUGAUGUAGGUCAACUUAGGUAGGACGGGUGGCUUUUUCAUGGUCGCCCCGCACUAUCGACCGGCCAUGAUCCUCUGGAGAAAGGUCUGAGUGUGAGCAUAUGUGUUGGGACCCGAAAGAUGGUGAACUAUGCCUGAAUAGGGUGAAGCCAGGGGAAACUCUGGUGGAGGCUCGUAGCGAUUCUGACGUGCAAAUCGAUCGUCAAAUUUGGGUAUAGGGGCGAAAGACUAAUCGAACCAUCUAGUAGCUGGUUACCUC